rnacentral:rRNA from 1 species
AGUGAACGCUGGCGGUAGGCCUAACACAUGCAAGUCGAACGGCAGCACAGUAAGAGCUUGCUCUUACGGGUGGCGAGUGGCGGACGGGUGAGGAAUACAUCGGAAUCUACUUUUUCGUGGGGGAUAACGUAGGGAAACUUACGCUAAUACCGCAUACGACCUACGGGUGAAAGCAGGGGAUCUUCGGACCUUGCGCGAUUGAAUGAGCCGAUGUCGGAUUAGCUAGUUGGCGGGGUAAAGGCCCACCAAGGCGACGAUCCGUAGCUGGUCUGAGAGGAUGGUCAGCCACACUGGAACUGAGACACGGUCCAGACUCCUACGGGAGGCAGCAGUGGGGAAUAUUGGACAAUGGGCGCAAGCCUGAUCCAGCCAUACCGCGUGGGUGAAGAAGGCCUUCGGGUUGUAAAGCCCUUUUGUUGGGAAAGAAAAGCAGCAGGUUAAUACCCCGCUGUUCUGACGGUACCCAAAGAAUAAGCACCGGCUAACUUCG